UGGGACUCAGGAGGAAGGGGAAAAGGGGACAAAUCCAGGAGAGAAAUGAUCUUCAGACAAGGAAGAGUCACAGAUUUUUAAACAGAGCUCCUAGUUCUAUCAGCGGCAGAGCUGUGAAGUAAUAAAUACAACAGGCUGCUAUAAACCAGGAGUGAAUCUAUCCAGGAAGUUGUCACACAGACACCAAAGUGGAAUGACUCCAGGGGGAGUUCAAAGGCUUCUGAAGACCACGGGACCGAACGUCCAGCCUGGGGAGGACGCAGAAACUUCGGGUUGCCUUAGCGCCCUGUGCGCGCUUUGGCCCGCCUCUCGCCAUGGCUGGGCUGUUGUUGAUUGACAUGUGUCUCGCCCAAUGGCCUGCAACCUGGAGGACGCCAGCCCAGCAACAGUGAGGACCAGCAACGGUGAGGACCGAGGCAGACGUGCUCAGAGGGCAAGAAACAACUGAUGCAAGGAAGGGGGAAAAGGAAAAGAAGGCAGGGGAAGUGGGAAAGGAGGAUGGAAAAAAGGCCAGAGAAAUGUGAGAUCUACAGUCUCCCUAGUUAUAAAACCACUGGGUCUGGUCCCCGGGGAAAGUUCCACAGGUGAGAGACCUGGAAGAGAAAGGAGGCACCACCCCUUGCCCUACAUCUGCCACCCAGGGCUCAGUCCUUCCUUGUGACCUCAGCCGGGAGCCUAGAGUCUUCCCCACCUGCCGAUCGGCCCCCGCGACUCCACACGGGCCCCUGCCCUGCCAACACUGCUGCCUCUCGGGGGCGCUUGCUCCCUCCCGUCUCCAGGGCAACCUGGAGAUGCGCUGGCCCUCCACACCUGCCGGAGACCAGUGGGAGCAGCCUGGGUUCACCUCGCAUGGGACACCGCUGCCGCCACACUUUUCUUCAAGAGUACGACAAGACGCUUCGGCGAGGAUCAUGCGUAGACGCAGAAUACAUGGACUGUAACCCGGCUUCCCCAAGCACCCUUGUGAGCGGGUGACGCAACGGGAGCUCUGCGACCGUAUGACCUGUGAUGUGUGAAUGGCCACCCCCGACAGGGUGCUGAAUAACGACUUCACGUGAGCCUGAGAGGGACGCACGUGCCCAUUCCUGUGGCUCGUGUUGCCGGGUGAUGGGGCGGGCACGGCGGCGCGCUCAGCAACGCGAGCAGCGCAGAGCGAGGGGGGCCACCAAUGCCGAAUGAGAGAAUUAGGACCCAAAUAUCCAGUCAGCCCGGAACAAUACCAUGAAUCCACAAAGCGAAAGCCCUGUGCUUGGGCCCUGAAACAUGGCUGCCUGAGUCCCAGAGCGGGGUGUGGCUUCACCGCAGCACGCGUGAGAAAGACUGCUGGAUUUGUUGUGUGUAAAGAGAGAGGGUGUCUGCCAAGCAGGGCUGUGACAGCAGACGUGUGAGGGUAGGAAUAAAGUGAGUGUGCAACUCCCCUCUGCUCAGAUCAGUGCCUCCAGGGCCCCACACUGUAAGAAGGACCGUGAAAAGCUGAUAUCCAUCCAGUGGAAAAUGAUGAGGACAGUGGUGCCGACUGAAGCCAUGUCAUAUGAGCAAUGGCUGAAAGAGCUAUGUUUAGCCUGGAGAAGAAGCUAGGGGGGACAUGAGAGCUGCUUUCAAAUAUUUGAAGGGCUGUCACAAGGAAGAGGAAUUUAAAUGUGUUCUCUGUGGCUCCACAGGUUGAAACUAGGGCAAUGGAAGUGGCAUCGAGGCAGAUUGGAGCUAUGUAGAAGUCACGUUGGCACUGUUCAGCAGUUAGAGUUGGCCAAUAAUGAAACAGGUUGUCUCCAGAGAGACUGAGCUCCCCAUCACUGGAGGGAAUCAGCAUUUGUUGGGAAUCAAAAUUCCUCGGUAGGUAGGAAAUAUACGAUCUCGGAGUGCCUAAAGGAGGUGAAUGGGAACACCGCGGAGCAGACCCCUCAGAAGAGCUCGGGAGUUCCAGAGACAAACUCACCUCCUUCCCAAAUUCCCCUCUUGGGAUAACUAUAGACAUGGGGGACAUGAGAAGAAGGAUGGAGACACGUGGAGGGAGGAGAAGCAGCAACAUAGGGAUGCUGCCAGAACGGGUGGACCGUGUUUGAGUCCUCAUCAAACAAACCAACUUUAAGUAAAUAUAUUUGUUUAUCAGCAAUUGCAUGUGGUUCAACCUAAUACAUUCUGAAGUAUUUGUGGAUGAAACAACACGAUUCUAGGAUUUCCUUCAAAAUGACCUAGUGGGGUAAUGGAAGGGAGGAGGUGGUGAUGAAUGAAACAGACUGGCCAUGAGUUAGUAAUUACUGAGACUGGGUGCUGCGUCCAAGGGCCUCGUUAAACUUACAAUACUCUCUACUCUUGUAUAUGUUUGAAAUUUUCUAUAAUUAAAGUUUUAAAAAGGAGAUGUUGCCAAUAUCUUGAGCAUCACUGCUAAUGUCACAGUAUAGAAACAGAAUUUGAAAAGGAUGCAAAUAUUUUGCAAAGGUCAAUUUUGGUGUCCAUGAUUAUCUCAGCACUUAUUAGUCUUUCUGGAAGUCAUUUGAGCAAAUUGCUAUUGAGCAGGGCAGGGAUGGAGAGAAGCACAUUCAUUAAAAAUAUGGCAAAAAUGUUGCUCACUUCUCAUUUCCAGGGGACCCAUUUGCUGGCUUCAGUCUCCUUCGUGGGAAGGGAAUCUCUCUGAGGAACCUUCUAGAAGAUGUAGGGUGUUCCUUGUGCCUUUAAUUGCUUUGUGGUGGUCUCUAAGCAGGACUCUUGUGCACUGGCUCCAGUGAUGUCACCAGCAAGCCUGCUUUGGAAAUUCAGGCAGCCCCUCUGCAGAGCCUGGCCCAUCCAAGCCCAGCUGCUCAGAUGCCUUCUCUAAAUAGAAGCCUUGUGUGAUGAUGUCUCCCUUCUGCCUGCUUGAGGAAGUCAGGCUGAAAGGCCAAGCCGAUUAAUCCUGAGCUAAUUUUUACCUGUGUUCACCUGUCGAUGUCAAUUUCCACAGACCCUGAAGAGUGCAGCCACAUGGCAUGGUGACAUGACAGCCUGUCUUUGGGGCAGGACUGUCCAUGGUGUAGGGUGGGUUCCACUGGCAGUUCAAGAACAGCUCUGGGUGGUCCACACACCCAGCCUUAAAUAACACUGACUCACAUAGAGAGA
ensembl:lncRNA